AGGAGCUGUGCCUCUGUUGCAUAAGAAGUUUGAGAGAAGGGGAGAGGAGGAAAAAAAACACCUUCCUCACAACCUGAGCUCUGCACUAAUCCCACCUUUAUCCUGUGUGCUGCAGAGUGACGCUACCACAGCCUCCUGCAGGUAUCCAGAUCAGAACAUGUUCGCAUGGAGAAGUUGCAGCGUCACGACUGCACGAUUCUUAUUUCAAACAACUCGACCACAGGGAUGCCUGAGGAAUAAAAAACAUCUCCCUUAGAGACACUACAAAGAGGGAACCUUUGGCCAACCCUGAGCGUAAUAUCUGCAGUCAGUAUCUGCGUCUGGAGGUGUUCCAGAGUCAAGAAACCUGAUCCACUCCCUUACAUUUCUGCGUCUGCCAGAAACGACCUGUUCCCAUGAGUUCAGAG